rnacentral:tRNA from 1 species
GCCGUAGUAGCUCAGUGGCAGAGCGCACCCUUGGUAAGGGUGAGGUCGGGAGUUCAAUCCUCCCCUACGGCACCA